GUCUUUCUCCUCCUGCUCUGUACUUGCAGUUUUUCCACCCUCCCACUUCUCUCUCUCUUUAUUUGUCUCUCUCUCUCUCCCUCUCAAAUGCAAGGCCAUGUGGGACGUCUGAUGAGGAGUUUCACCCCUCUACGUCUCCAGUUUCAUAUCUCUCUUUCCCUCUCCACCGUUCUUUGGCUUUCCGUACGGGUUCCUCGAGCUCCGCUGUCUUUGCAAGGUGAAGACCCGCUGGAGACUAGUUUAAAGAGUGUAAGGGGGGAAAAGGGGGAAAGAAAAAACCAGGCUUCUUUUUUUUCUGCCGAGGGCCUCCUGCCUAGAGUGCGACAGAGGCUCCACCACAAGCCUGCCAACACGCUCACAUUUUCAUGCACCCGAUUGCGGAAUUUCAGCAAGGUUUGCGGCUGCUUUUGAUUCGCGAAGUGCCUAUUUUGACAUUUUCUCUUUCAAUUUCAGUGAGCGGCCGAAUCCAUCGUGACACGAAGCCCACACCAGCGCAGCGCCAGGGCCCCUCGGAGUGCUGAAAACCUGCGGGAUUUGCCAUUUGGAAGUACUGACCUGCGACUUACCCAUUCCCGAUCCGUUCGCACAGGAGAUUCAGGAGUGAAGCUGCUCCGUUUUGGGACAGGUGCCAGUUGCAAAAGGCGAGUGAAAGCAUCGGUGAUCUGCAUGAGGAAACAUUGAGGGUGAGCGGAAAACACAAACUCGCAAACGUCCGUGCAACUAUCGAAAAAAAAAGUGAAGGAUGGUUGCAAGGGGAGGGGGAGACAGAAAAAGUGGAUCGUGAAAGAGGAGGUGGGGGGUGUUUAUUCAAGCCUGCUUGAUGCUCCUCGGGCCUUCGAGAGCUGAUUGCAUGUGCCGCGGUAACCGCGGGACCAUUUGCAUGCGGCAGACACGCUAAUUGUAUGUUUGCUAACAUGCACCAUUCAGCAAGACGCGCUCCAGUUCGCAGACGGGGUUCACACACGCCUCCCAGACGCCUCGGAGGCCUCCUAUUGUUCCAGAGGCCCAGCCAAGCAGCCGGCGAGCCUAACCAGAGCCCUGCUCAGGCCUGCCGAGAGGGAGAACUGGAAUUCGAGACCAGACGGGAUAGCGGGAUAGUGGACAGACUCACAGCCCCUCUCUCUUUCUCUCCGCAGCAAGAAAAAAUAGGCCUGUGGAAAGCGCUGCCUCCGGGCGCUGACGUCCUCGCAGAUGUGUGCACAAGAGAAGUUUGAAAUGGACUAACCAAGAUGCUGCCCUGCACAGGAUCACUAUAAUCGUCAUUAUAUGGAAAGAGCAGAAAGAAGAAAAUUCUCCUUAUGUGUUUCACAGACGAGUUUGAGCAACAUGCGGAGACUGAUCUUCCCUUUCCUUGUUACUGAAGAACAAGCAGAUCCUGCCAGAGACUCAUCUCUCUUUAUUACAGACGGAAGGAGAGACGCGCAGUGAUGAGACUUGAAAGGUGCCGGUUCAAAUUGACACACGCGUUUAUCUUUUAGGCUGUUUUUACACUUAAAUUGAUUGCUUGUUUAUUUCCGCUCUCCAUAUGUGACCCUGGAGCACAAAACCAGU